UACUCAUUCUGUUUUAGGCAGAGGUUUACUACCAGGCAAGAAGCUUCUCCCUUGAUAAUCUUCGACCCACAUACUAUAAAAUCAAUGGAGUUGUAUACAUCAUACAUGUAUGCAUAUGGAUAUUCCUCAACAGUCCUGAAUAUAAGCAAAUAAACUAUAGCUUUAGAAACUAAAGCUUAAUUGCAUGUGAUCAACUGUGAGACCAAUUCAAGAAACUCCAACAUUACUAACACAUACCAACACACUUCAUCAUGUUCAGCAACCAACUCAAAUACAAAAU